CAGCAGUUCACUUUACAGUCACUGCCUCUAAGCCGAGCUGAUGAGAUAAAUAAAUGGCUUUGAGCUUCUGCUAAGCUGGGCUUGCUGCAAGAGGCAGUUUCAUUUAUCCGAUGAACUAUCCUGUCUGCAUCCCCUGCCGUCCAGAUUUCAAGAUGGCAGUGAUAGCAACACCGUGUCCCUUUUCUGCUUAGGUUCUAUGCCCGGGACUCUGGCUUGCUGAAGUUUGAGAUCCAGGCAGGCUUGCUGGGCCGCCCCAUCAACCACACGGUGCGACGCCUCGUGGCCUUCACCUUUCACCCCUUUGAGCCAUUUGCCAUUUCUGUGCAGAGGACUAACGCAGAGUACGUUGUCAACUUCCACAUGCGACACUGCUGCACCUAGUCACCCCGUUACGAUCAUGAUCACGCCGUCCAGGACUCCGCCCCUGCUUCGCUCAGUGGACGUUAAAGCAAAAGCUGCUAGCCGCCUGCUCUCGUCGGCAUUCCACACUGGCAUGCCUCACCUACUCCAGAGCCUGAGGAGAGGGUGGGGGUGCAGCCUGGUGGGACUCUGUUGUCUUCUACCCAACUGAUGAGCUUUAAAGUCGUCUUUUCCCCGUGGGAACACCUGGUGUUAAAUCCAUUCUAUUUUGUUUACUUCGCAUCUUCUGUCUGUGGAGAUAGAAGCACUUACAUACACCUUUCCCCUUGAUAUCACUCUUGAGCAUUACGGUGUGAAGCCUUCAGCAGGUAAAUCAUGUUUACUCCUGAGAAUUAUGUACGCCUUUCCAUCCCCUCAACACGCAGGGCUAUCUUUAUAAGAGAAAAUAAAGCCUUGGUAUUUUCUUAGG
rnacentral:lncRNA from 1 species